rnacentral:rRNA from 1 species
UACGUAGGGUGCAAGCGUUAAUCGGAAUUACUGGGCGUAAAGCGUGCGCAGGCGGUUUUGUAAGACUGGCGUGAAAUCCCCGGGCUCAACCUGGGAAUGGCGAUGGUGACUGCAAGGCUAGAGUUUGGCAGAGGGGGGUAGAAUUCCACGUGUAGCAGUGAAAUGCGUAGAUAUGUGGAGGAACACCGAUGGCGAAGGCAGCCCCCUGGGUCAAAACUGACGCUCAUGCACGAAAGCGUGGGGAGCGAACAGG